rnacentral:rRNA from 1 species
GAUUGAACGCUGGCGGCAGGCCUAACACAUGCAAGUCGAACGGUAACAGGAAGAAGCUUGCUUCUUUGCUGACGAGUGGCGGACGGGUGAGUAAUGUCUGGGAAACUGCCUGAUGGAGGGGGAUAACUACUGGAAACGGUAGCUAAUACCGCAUAACGUCGCAAGACCAAAGAGGGGGACCUUCGGGCCUCUUGCCAUCGGAUGUGCCCAGAUGGGAUUAGCUAGUAGGUGGGAUAACGGAUCACCUAGGCGACGAUCCCUAACUGGUCUGAGAGGAUGACCAGCCACACUGGAACUGAGACACGGUCCAGACUCCUACGGGAGGCAGCAGUGGGGAAUAUUGCACAAUGGGCGCAAGCCUGAUACAGCCAUGCCGCGUGUAUGAAGAAGGCCUUCGGGUUGUAAAGUACUUUCAGCGGGGAGGAAGGGAGUAAAGUUAAUACCUUUGCUCAUUGACGUUACCCGCAGAAGAAGCACCGGCUA